UACGGGGGGGGGCAAGCGUUUGUUCGGAAUUACUGGGCGUAAAGGGCUCGUAGGCGGCCAACUAAGUCGGAUGUGAAAUCCCCAGGCUUAACCUGGGAACUGCAUCCGAUACUGGAUGGCUUGAAUUCGGGAGAGGGAUGCAGAAUUCCAGGUGUAGCGGUGAAAUGCGUAGAUAUCUGGAGGAAUACCGGUGGCGAAGGCGGCAUCCUGGACCGACAUUGACGCUGAGGAGCGAAAAGCUAGGGGAGCAAACGGGG
rnacentral:rRNA from 1 species